UUGGAGGGCAAGUCUGGUGCCAGCAGCCGCGGUAAUUCCAGCUCCAAUAGCGUAUAUUAAAGUUGUUGCAGUUAAAAAGCUCGUAGCUGAAUUUCGGGAUCAAUGGAUUGGUCAUGCCGUUGGUAUGUACUGAUUUUAUUGAUUCUCACCUUCUAAAGAAUCAUAAUGCCAUUAAUUUGGUGUUGUGAGGAAUUAGGACUGUUACCUUGAAAAAAUUAGAGUGUUUAAAGCAGGCUUACGCUUGAAUACAUUAGCAUGGAAUAACGAAAUAGGACAUCGCAUUCUAUUUUGUUGGUUUCUAGGAUCGAUGUAAUGAUUAAUAGGGAUAGUUGGGGGCAUUAGUAUUCAAUUGUCAGAGGUGAAAUUCUUGGAUUUAUUGAAGACUAACUACUGCGAAAGCAUUUGCCAAGGAUGUUUUCAUUAAUCAAGAACGAAGGUUAGGGGAUCGAAGACGAUCAGAUACCGUCGUAGUCUUAACCAUAAACUAUGCCGACUAGGGAUCGGAUGAUGUUAAUUUUUUAAUGACUCAUUCGGCACCUUACGGGAAAC
rnacentral:rRNA from 1 species